rnacentral:rRNA from 1 species
CUACGGGGGGCUGCAGUGAGGAAUAUUGCACAAUGGGGGGAACCCUGAUGCAGCAACGCCGCGUGGAGGAUGACGCAUUUCGGUGUGUAAACUCCUUUUAUGAGUCAAGAAAAUGACGGUAGCUCAUGAAUAAGCACCGGCUAACUCCGUGCCAGCAGCCGCGGUAAUACGGAGGGUGCAAGCGUUACUCGGAAUCACUGGGCGUAAAGGACGCGUAGGCGGGAUGUCAAGUCAGGUGUGAAAUCCUAUGGCUCAACCAUAGAACUGCACUUGAAACUGGCAACCUAGAGUAUGGGAGGGGGAGAUGGAAUUAGUGGUGUAGGGGUAAAAUCCGUAGAUAUCACUAGGAAUACCUAAAGCGAAGGCGAUCUCCUGGAACAUUACUGACGCUAAGGCGUGAAAGCGUGGGGAGCAAACAGGAUUAGAUACCCUAGUAGUC